rnacentral:snoRNA from 1 species
GCGACCGUACUUGCACAGGAUCUGUUCAAUAGCUUCGUACCUCUGUAUCCUGGAUUCUAAGGAGACAGGAAACCAUGUCUGGUGGAUGAACCAUGCCUGCUCGACCAGAACGUGAUUAACGGACUCACUGGCCCUGCCCAGUUGACUCGAGUAGAGGAUCGUUCUCGGCUAGCUUUGGCUGGCUGGGGUGGUCGUGCAGCUGUCUGACAGACU